rnacentral:rRNA from 1 species
UACGUAGGGUGCGAGCGUUAAUCGGAAUACUGGGCGUAAAGCGUGCGCAGGCGGUUCGUUGUGUCUGCUGUGAAAUCCCCGGGCUCAACCUGGGAAUGGCAGUGGAAACUGGCGAGCUUGAGUGUGGCAGAGGGGGGUGGAAUUCCGCGUGUAGCAGUGAAAUGCGUAGAGAUGCGGAGGAACACCGAUGGCGAAGGCAACCCCCUGGGCUGACACUGACGCUCAGGCACGAAAGCGUGGGGAGCAAACAGG